rnacentral:rRNA from 1 species
ACGGCCCAAAGCGUGAUUAAAUUAUAUUUAGACUAAUAGAAGUAAAAAUUAACUCGACUGUCGUACGUAUUUGUUAAAUGAAAAAUCAAAAACGAAAGAUAUUCUAACAAACAAAUUACUUGAAUCCACGAAAGCUAAGAAACAAACUAGGAUUAGAUACCCUACUAUGCUUAGCCUUAAACUUUGGAACCUACCCGCCUGAGUACUACGAGCCAUAGCUUAAAACUCAAAGGACUUGGCGGUGCUUUAUACCCCCCUAGAGGAGCCUGUUCUAUAAUUGAUACCCCCCGCUAAACCUCACCACUCAUUGCCAAUACCGCUUAUAUACCGCCGUCGUCAGCUCACCAUUUAAAUGAAAAAUAGUAGGCAUAAUGAUAAACAUAAAAACGUCAGGUCAAGGUGUAGCGAAUUGAGUGGAAAGAAAUGGGCUACAUUUUCUAAAUUAGAAAAUACGAAAAAUUUUAUGAAAAACAAUUUAAAGGUGGAUUUAGCAGUAAAAAGAAAACAGAGUGUUCUUUUUAAAUAGGCCCUAGAGCGCGCACACACCGCCCGUCACCCUCCUCAGAAAAAUAACUUAUAUAUAAUUUUUUUAAAAAUAAAGAAGAGGAAAGUCGUAACAUGGUAAGUUUACCGGAAGGUGUACUUGGAAUAU